rnacentral:rRNA from 1 species
GAUGAACGCUGGCGGCGUGCCUAACACAUGCAAGUCGAACGGAGUCGUUUUGGAAAUCUCUUCGGAGAUGGAAUUCUCGACUUAGUGGCGGACGGGUGAGUAACGCGUGAGCAAUCUGCCUUUAAGAGGGGGAUAACAGUCGGAAACGGCUGCUAAUACCGCAUAAAGCAUUAAAUUCGCAUGUUUUUGAUGCCAAAGGAGCAAUCCGCUUUUAGAUGAGCUCGCGUCUGAUUAGCUAGUUGGCGGGGUAACGGCCCACCAAGGCGACGAUCAGUAGCCGGACUGAGAGAUUGAGCGGCCACAUUGGGACUGAGACACGGCCCAGACUCCUACGGGAGGCGGCAGUGGGGAAUAUUGCGCAAUGGGGGAAACCCUGACGCAGCAACGCCGCGUGAUUGAAGAAGGCCUUCGGGUUGUAAAGAUCUUUAAUCAGGGACGAAACAAAUGACGGUACCUGAAGAAUAAGCUCCGGCUAACUACGUG